CCCCCAACUUCUGAAAAUUUGAC
rnacentral:rRNA from 12 species